rnacentral:rRNA from 1 species
AUUGAACGCUGGCGGCAGGCCUAACACAUGCAAGUCGAACGCGUGGCGGCCGGGUGAGUAAUGUCUGGGACACUGCCUGAUGGAGGGGGAUAAAUACUGGAAACGGUAGCUAAUACCGUAUCCCAUAAGAUGUGCCCAGAUGGGAUUAGCUGGUUGGUGGGGUAACGGCUCACCAAGGCGACGAUCACUAGCUGGUCUGAGAGGAUGACCAGCCACACUGGAACUGAGACACGGGCCAGACUCCUACGGGAGGCAGCAGUGGGGAAUAUUGCACAAUGGGCGCAAGCCUGAUGCAGCCAUGCCGCGUGUAUGAAUAAGGCCUUCGGGUUGUAAAGUACUUUCAGCGGGGAGGCGUUACCCGCAGAAGAAGCACCGGCUAACUCCGUGCCAGCAGCCGCGGUAAUUC